rnacentral:rRNA from 1 species
AACACAUGNNNCCAACCGCAAGGCNNNCCGGGUACACGAGUGGCGAACGGGUGAGUAACGCGUGAGUAACCUGCCCUUCACUCUGGGAUAACAGUUGGAAACGGCUGCUAAUACCGGAUAUUCAGCUCCUGUCGCAUGGUGGGGGUUGGAAAGUUUUGGUGGUGGAGGAUGGGCUCGCGUCCUAUCAGCUUGUUGGUGGGGUGAUGGCCUACCAAGGCGUCGACGGGUAGCCGGCCUGAGAGGGCGACCGGCCACAUUGGGACUGAGAUACGGCCCAAACUCCUACGGGAGGCAGCAGUGGGGAAUAUUGCACAAUGGGCGGAACUUGAUGCAGCAACGCCGCGUGCGGAUGACGGCCUUCGGGUUGUAAACCGCUUUCAGCAGGGACGAAGCGUGAGUGACGGUACCUGCAGAAGAAGCACCGGCUAACUACGUGCCAGCAGCCGCGUGAUACGUAGGUGUGAGCGUUGUCCGGAUUUAUUGGGCGUAAGAGCUUGUAGGCGGUUGGUUGCGUCGAAAGUGCAAACUCAGGGGCUUAACUCUGAGCUGCUUUCGAUACGGUGCUACUGAGGAAGGUAGGAGAAUGGAAUUCCCGUGAGCGUGAAUGCGCAGAUAUCGGGAGGAACACCAGUGCGAGCGUUCUCUGACUUCUGACGCUAGACAAACUGGGAGCAAACAGCUAGAUACCUGGUAUCAGCUGUAACGGUGGUACUAGUGUGGGGACAUUCACGUUCUCUGUGCGUACGUAAGCAUUAAGUACCCGCUGGGAGUACGGCCGCAGGUAAAACUCAAAGGAUUGACGGGGCCCCACAAGCGGCGGAGCAUGCGAUUAUUCGAUGCACGCGAAGAACCUUACCUGGGUUUGACAUAUAUCGGAAACGUUCAGAGAUGGGCGCCCCGUAAGGUCGGUAUACAGGUGGUGCAUGGCUGUCGUCAGCUCGUGUCGUGAGAUGUUGGGUUAAGUCCCGCAACGAGCGCAACCCUCGUCCAAUGUUGCCAGCGGGUUAUGCCGGGGACUCAUUGGAGACCGCCGGGGUCAACUCGGAGGAAGGUGGGGAUGACGUCAAGUCAUCAUGCCCCUUAUGUCCAGGGCUUCACGCAUGCUACAAUGGCCGGUACAAAGAGUUGCGAGCCUGUGAGGGUGAGCGAAUCUCAAAAAGCCGGUCUCAGUUCGGAUUGGGGUCUGCAACUCGACCCCAUGAAGUCGGAGUCGCUAGUAAUCGCAGAUCAGCAACGCUGCGGUGAAUACGUUCCCGGGGCUUGUACACACCGCCCGUCAAGUCAUGAAAGUCGGUAACACCCGAACCGGUGGCCUAACCCGUUUGGGGG